UACCCUACGGCGUGAACCAGCAACUUGGAGGAAUGUAUAGCAAUUGCUACUUGCAUCAUUGUAGAGAUGAUGCAAGAUCGACUAAGUUGAAUAAAAUUCUAGGUAGAAUUAUGAUGAUGACAUUUUCUGCCUAUGUGUCUUGACCAAAUUACGUGCCAGCAGUCGCGGUAAUACGUAGAAGACUAGUGUUAUUCAUGUUUAAUCGGUUUAAAGGGUACCUAGACGGUAGAUCAAGCUUUCAAUAAGGACUAGUUUACUAGAGUUACUUAUGAGGGGGUUGUAAAGUACUGUUGGUGUAGAGAUGAAAUUCUGUCAUACCUCUUUUCAAAAGAAAAAUCACGGCACAGGUAUAGGCGAAGGCAUCCCCUUAUGUGAUAACUGACGUUGAGGGACGAAGGCUUCGUGGAACAAACAGGAUUAGAUACCCCAGUAGUUGAAGCAGAAAAUGAUGAAUGUCAUAGAUUAGAUGUCUAAGUUUAUUCUAUAAAUGAAAGUGUAAGCAUUCCACCUCAAGAGUAAUUUGGCAACAUUGGAACUGAAAUCAUUAGACCGUUUCUGAUACCAGUAGUGAAGUAUGUUGUUUAAUUUGAUGAUCCGCAAAAAACCUUACCACAAUUUGAAUAGAUAUAUCCUUUAUUGUUUUUUUUAAUUUUUUUUCAGAUACUUGUAUCUAGAGCACUAUUAAUGAGGCAAUAAAAUAUAUCUACAAGCGCUGCACGGCUGUCUUCAGUUAAUGUCGUGAGAUUUUGGUUAGUUCCAUUAAAUUAACGUAAACCCUUACUUUAUUUUUACAUAAAGUAGUUCCCCACUAUAUUGGAUAUGAUAACAGGGACUAAGACAAGUCAUCAUGGCCU
rnacentral:rRNA from 1 species